rnacentral:rRNA from 1 species
UACACUCCUACGGGAGGCAGCAGUGGGGAAUAUUGGACAAUGGGCGCAAGCCUGAUCCAGCCAUGCCGCGUGAGUGAUGAAGGCCCUAGGGUUGUAAAGCUCUUUCACCGGAGAAGAUAAUGACGGUAUCCGGAGAAGAAGCCCCGGCUAACUUCGUGCCAGCAGCCGCGGUAAUACGAAGGGGGCUAGCGUUGUUCGGAAUUACUGGGCGUAAAGCGCACGUAGGCGGAUCGAUCAGUCAGGGGUGAAAUCCCAGGGCUCAACCCUGGAACUGCCUUUGAUACUGUCGAUCUGGAGUAUGGAAGAGGUGAGUGGAAUUCCGAGUGUAGAGGUGAAAUUCGUAGAUAUUCGGAGGAACACCAGUGGCGAAGGCGGCUCACUGGUCCAUUACUGACGCUGAGGUGCGAAAGCGUGGGGAGCAAACAGGAUUAGAAACCCCGGUAGUCCCAUG